rnacentral:rRNA from 1 species
AGCAGCCGCGGUAAUUCCAGCUCCAAUAGCGUAUAUUAAAGUUGUUGCAGUUAAAAAGCUCGUAGUUGAAUUUCGGGGUUAGUAGAUUGGUCAUGCCUUUGGUAUGUACUGGUCUUACUGAUUCCUCCUUCCUGAUGAACCGUAAUGCCAUUAAUUUGGUGUUGCGGGGAGACUGGACUGUUACUUUGAAAAAAUUAGAGUGUUUAAAGCAGGCUAACGCUUGAAUACAUUAGCAUGGAAUAAUGAAAUAGGACGUUCGAUCUUAUUUUGUUGGUUUCUAGGAUUGACGUAAUGAUUAAUAGGGAUAGUUGGGGGCAUUAGUAUUCAAUUGUCAGAGGUGAAAUUCUUGGAUUUAUUGAAGACUAACUACUGCGAAAGCAUUUGCCAAGGAUGUUUUCAUUAAUCAAGAACGAAAGUUAGGGGAUCGAAGACGAUCAGAUACCGUCGUAGUCUUAACCAUAAACUAUGCCGACUAGGGAUCGGAUGAUGUUAAUUUUUAAUGACUCAUUCGGCGCCUUAC